CCUCACAGCCUGUGUUCAAGGGUGCAAGGAUGACAGGGAGUGGAAAGGGCCGGGAAAGGGUGGCUUGGCCUGGGCUGAACAUUUUUUUUCACCUCCAGGCUUAGAGUCAGACUCCCCCGUGGGUCAGGUCUGGGGGCGUGAACUGGUCCUCGGGUUAUCAGGUAACCUGUUUGGCCUCCCAGAACCAGGAUAUCAGCCAUGUCUACAGCCAGCCAUACAUGGCAUUAUUGAAGAGCAAGGAUGAUGGGACACACACACACACACACACAUCCCUCCAAACAACGGCUUGGUGGAGACCAGCCACAGAGGCUCCAGAGUCGCUCCCAGUCAGGAUCAAGUGGAAAGGUCCUGCGAGGGGCCUGGCGAGAGGCAGCACGGCUGAUUCCAAAAUAGUCCCCGCACGGACUUUGGCCGGGACGAAGAUAGGCAGGCUUAGAGAGGAGGAUGGAGAGGAGGAUGAAGCCCAAGAGGACGGCAAGCUCCUCCCUGCCCCGGGAUCUGAGUCCAGACACCGUCUGGAGGCUACAGCUGCGGUGGAAGUGAAGGAACAAGUCUCUGUUGACAUGUCUGCCUUUCUGGAGCCUCCAAUGGAAAGUUUUAUGAAAAGUAAGAUAGAAGAGAGUUCAUGA
rnacentral:lncRNA from 1 species